AAAAAAGAGAAAGAAUGGAAUUGAAUAUGUAUUUCAGUGAGGAUGCAUUAAUGUAGUCCAGACUAAUGUACAAUAAAUAAAACCAUAUCUGAAGAUUUACACUUAUACUUGAGGAUGAAAAGUAUUUCAAGUUUAUUAAAUAUCUUGUUCUCUGUAACAACUAAAUAUCACAGGUUAAAUCCUGUAUGGACUUGUACAUCAUUUUUCUAAGUCAGAUAAAUUAAAUGCAGUAACUUCAUCAUAUUACCUUAUGUCCUAUUUGAAGCAAAUGGAAACAGAAUCCAGGGUUUUACUGUCUGUUUUCAGAAUAUUGCUUGAAAAACAAGUUUCAGAGCAGAUGUCUGACUUUUAAAAGGUAGCAUGUUAUGCUCCUCACAUGUUUUUUCUAUGUUUUUCAUCUUGUAGCGCUGAGGAAAACCUUACAUGCCAGAGACACACAAACUUUUGGACCUGAACAUAACUUCAGAGUGGUAAAUGGAAUAGGGCCUCAAGGUCUUUAGUCUUCAAAAUGGUUUGCUCUUGAUGUUUAUUCAAUUAAUUAUUCUAUGAUAUUUCUUUUUGUAAUAAAAGAGGUCAUUGACUGAACAAAUAGACAGGGAUUGCAGCUUGCCAUUCUGUAAGUAUGUUUUCCUGGCUUUUUUUUUUUUUUUUUUUUUAAUUAAUGUUGAAUGCAAAUAGCCUAAUUGGAAAAAUAAAUAAUGGAAUGUAAACUUCAUAGUAUUUUGGUUACUUUAUAAGGUUAUGCCUCCUCCCUUGCCCUCCAGGAAAGAAAUGUUCUCUGGUAUGGUACUGAGGCUAGAGAACCUGAGAUUAGGUCAACCAAAUUUAUAAAUUAUUUGAAAUAAAAUAUUUUUUUUAUUUAGUUGAAAGUUCAUAAUUUCCAAACACUUUCCAAAUAUUGCUUUCUGGGUGGGAAAUUCCAUGUCCUGCAUGCUGUUACAAAUGAUCACCCAAGAAGAAGUUAAUAAUUUUCAAAGCAAUACAUUCAAAUACCUCUUGGGAUAUGUGUGAUAUGAUGACAAGGUGUAAAACAUUUGGGCUCCACCUCCAGAGGCUCCUAUCCAGUUACUAGUCAUGGACUAUGGGUUCCUUUUUUGUAUGUAUCCCACAUCUGGUUAUGGGAAGGUGAGACUAUUAGUGAGGACUUGACCUCUCCUGUCUUUCCAAGCUUCAUUUCAGCAGGAAAGUAUCCUCUUGUAAGUUAGACCAAGAACAUGCUGGGAUGAUCUGUGGUGUUUAAGAUGUUCAACCUGUCAGAAAACAAUAGAAACCUCACUGGUUGCUACUCAGAAGCCAUUGACUCCUCUUGGCCUCAUAAAUAAGGAGAGUCUUGUAGAAAUGCAGUUCAGAAUCUGUUCUACAUUCAGAGGCUCUCUUUGAACCUUGGUUUGGUCACAGCAGAGGAGGAACCUUGGGCAGUGGACUCCACUCCUCCUCCAGAGGCCAUCUAGUCCAGCCCUUUACACCAAACAUCAGGUUUCUCAGGUGCAUGUCUCCAAGAACAGGUAUUUUGCAACCUCUUUGGACCUUGUCUUCCAGCACUUAACCAACUGCAUGGUAAAAGCAUGUUCCUUGUUAGAAUUGUCUACAUUCAAACUGUUCUGUCCUCUGAUCUUCGGUGUCUUCCAGCUCCAGCAUCAUACAUGUCUUUGUCAUGAUCCAGGAACUUCUGGGCUGUCAUUUCACAGAGAAGCCAUUGCAUUUUCUCAGCUGGACCUUGCUUACCAUUAAUUCCAUGGAUCUUCUGCUCUUCCAUUUGUUUCAGGGGAGGUCUUUGUGAAGCCAAAUCCACGUGGAUACUUUACCCCUUCCCCCCCACCCUUACCCCGGGAGGGCCUCACAAAGACUCAAGGGAGAAAAUUAAAUGUAUUUGUCGCCUGUUAUUGCCUAGAUCUGCUUGGAAAGCCAAAAUGUAAAAUAAGCAUUGCUGGUGCUGCCUACCUUCAGUAGAAUCAGGUUUUGACUACACUGCUGCUUUCCAGGAAAUGUAGAUAAUUUACAGCUCUUGAGAGGUACUCUUCUGUGGAAUGAUCAAUUAGUUUAUGGGAUUGAAACCCAAUCACACAGUAUAUUUUAUUUGCUGGCUGUCAUUUACAAGAUAGGGAGGAAGGGAAUUAACAUCUGAGUGAGAAAGCAUAACAAAAAUUUCUCACCACUGCACAGAAAGCCAUCAAUAUUUGUUACAGAGGUUAAUUUUAUGCUAGUUCAGAUCUAUGAACUCAAAGAUCAGAGUGAAAAUAAGGAGGAAAAAAAAAGGAUGUUUUAGUUAAUAUCUUUGAAGUAGUUUCUAAAGAAAGAUUGGGACACCCAAAAUUCCACAGAGUGCCAAAAAUAAUUCCUCAUUUUUCC